rnacentral:rRNA from 1 species
CCUACGGGAGGCAGCAGUGGGGAAUAUUGGGCAAUGGGCGCAAGCCUGACCCAGCAACGCCGCGUGAAGGAAGAAGGCGUUAGGGUUGUAAACUUCUUUUGUUAGGGAAGAGUAGAAGACGGUACCUGACGAAUAAGCCACGGCUAACUACGUGCCAGCAGCCGCGGUAAUACGUAGGUGGCAAGCGUUGUCCGGAGUUACUGGGUUUAAAGGGCGUGUAGCCGGGUUGACAAGUCAGAUGUGAAAUCCUGCGGCUUAACCGCAGAAAUGCAUUUGAAACUGUUGAUCUUGAGUACUGGAGAGGCAGAUGGAAUUCCUGGUGUAGCGGUGAAAUGCUUAGAUAUUAGGAGGAACGCCAGUGGCGAAGGCGGUCUGCUGGACAGCAACUGACGGUGAGGCGCGAAAGCGUGGGGAGCAAACAGGAUUAGAUACCCCAGUAGUC